rnacentral:SRP_RNA from 1 species
UAUUGGUCCCCACGCAACGAUAAACCGUGAACCUGGUCAGGCCUGGAAGGGAGCAGCCACAGCGGUGGAUUCGUGUGCCGCGGUGCGGCUGAUAGGG